GCUGGCGGCGUGCCUAAUACAUGCAAGUCGAACGAGUUCUCGUUGAUGAUCGGUGCUUGCACCGAGAUUCAACAUGGAACGAGUGGCGGACGGGUGAGUAACACGUGGGUAACCUGCCCUUAAGUGGGGGAUAACAUUUGGAAACAGAUGCUAAUACCGCAUAGAUCCAAGAACCGCAUGGUUCUUGGCUGAAAGAUGGCGUAAGCUAUCGCUUUUGGAUGGACCCGCGGCGUAUUAGCUAGUUGGUGAGGUAAUGGCUCACCAAGGCGAUGAUACGUAGCCGAACUGAGAGGUUGAUCGGCCACAUUGGGACUGAGACACGGCCCAAACUCCUACGGGAGGCAGCAGUAGGGAAUCUUCCACAAUGGACGCAAGUCUGAUGGAGCAACGCCGCGUGAGUGAAGAAGGCUUUCGGGUCGUAAAACUCUGUUGUUGGAGAAGAAUGGUCGGCAGAGUAACUGUUGUCGGCGUGACGGUAUCCAACCAGAAAGCCACGGCUAACUACGUGCCAGCAGCCGCGGUAAUACGUAGGUGGCAAGCGUUAUCCGGAUUUAUUGGGCGUAAAGCGAGCGCAGGCGGUUUUUUAAGUCUGAUGUGAAAGCCCUCGGCUUAACCGAGGAAGCGCAUCGGAAACUGGGAAACUUGAGUGCAGAAGAGGACAGUGGAACUCCAUGUGUAGCGGUGAAAUGCGUAGAUAUAUGGAAGAACACCAGUGGCGAAGGCGGCUGUCUGGUCUGUAACUGACGCUGAGGCUCGAAAGCAUGGGUAGCGAACAGGAUUAGAUACCCUGGUAGUCCAUGCCGUAAACGAUGAAUGCUAGGUGUUGGAGGGUUUCCGCCCUUCAGUGCCGCAGCUAACGCAUUAAGCAUUCCGCCUGGGGAGUACGACCGCAAGGUUGAAACUCAAAGGAAUUGACGGGGGCCCGCACAAGCGGUGGAGCAUGUGGUUUAAUUCGAAGCAACGCGAAGAACCUUACCAGGUCUUGACAUCUUUUGAUCACCUGAGAGAUCAGGUUUCCCCUUCGGGGGCAAAAUGACAGGUGGUGCAUGGUUGUCGUCAGCUCGUGUCGUGAGAUGUUGGGUUAAGUCCCGCAACGAGCGCAACCCUUAUGACUAGUUGCCAGCAUUUAGUUGGGCACUCUAGUAAGACUGCCGGUGACAAACCGGAGGAAGGUGGGGAUGACGUCAAAUCAUCAUGCCCCUUAUGACCUGGGCUACACACGUGCUACAAUGGAUGGUACAACGAGUUGCGAGACCGCGAGGUCAAGCUAAUCUCUUAAAGCCAUUCUCAGUUCGGACUGUAGGCUGCAACUCGCCUACACGAAGUCGGAAUCGCUAGUAAUCGCGGAUCAGCACGCCGCGGUGAAUACGUUCCCGGGCCUUGUACACACCGCCCGUCACACCAUGAGAGUUUGUAACACCCGAAGCCGGUGGCGUAACCCUUUUAGGGAGCGAGCCGUCUAAGGUGGGAC
rnacentral:rRNA from 1 species